UUAAGCGACUAAGCGUACACGGUGGAUGCCCUGGCAGUCAGAGGCGAUGAAGGGCGUGCUAAUCUGCGAUAAGCGCCGGUAAGGUGAUAUGAACCGUUAUAACCGGCGAUACCCGAAUGGGGAAACCAGUGUGACUCGUCACACUAUCAUUAACUGAAUCCAUAGGUUAAUGAGGCGAACCGGGGGAACUGAAACAUCUAAGUACCCCGAGGAAAGAAAUCAACCGAGAUUCCCCCAGUAGCGGCGAGCGAACGGGGAGGAGCCCAGAGCCUGAAUCAGCAUGUGUGUUAGUGGAAGCGUCUGGAAAGGCGCGCGAUACAGGGUGACAGCCCCGUACACAAAAGCGCAUGUGCUGUGAGCUCGAUGAGUAGGGCGGGACACGUGGUAUCCUGUCUGAAUAUGGGGGGACCAUCCUCCAAGGCUAAAUACUCCUGACUGACCGAUAGUGAACCAGUACCGUGAGGGAAAGGCGAAAAGAACCCCGGCGAGGGGAGUGAAAAAGAACCUGAAACCGUGUACGUACAAGCAGUGGGAGCCCCACCACCAAAGCGUUUCGCUUUGCGUGGUGCGCAAAAUGCGUAACGACAGCACGAUUGCGGUUAACGGAGCGUAAGCGACGUUCAACACCACAAUCAGGCAGUGGAGCGUUUUGGGGUGGGGUGACUGCGUACCUUUUGUAUAAUGGGUCAGCGACUUAUAUUCUGUAGCAAGGUUAACCGAAUAGGGGAGCCGGAGGGAAACCGAGUCUUAACCGGGCGUUAAGUUGCAGGGUAUAGACCCGAAACCCGGUGAUCUAGCCAUGGGCAGGUUGAAGGUUGGGUAACACUAACUGGAGGACCGAACCGACUAAUGUUGAAAAAUUAGCGGAUGACCUGUGGCUGGGGUGAAAGGCCAAUCAAACCGGGAGAUAGCUGGUUCUCCCCGAAAGCUAUUUAGGUAGCGCCUCGUGAAUUCAUCUCCGGGGGUAGAGCACUGUUUCGGCUAGGGGGCCAUCCCGGCUUACCAACCCGAUGCAAACUGCGAAUACCGGAGAAUGUUAUCACGGGAGACACACGGCGGGUGCUAACGUCCGUCGUGAAGAGGGAAACAACCCAGACCGCCAGCUAAGGUCCCAAAGUCAUGGUUAAGUGGGAAACGAUGUGGGAAGGCCCAGACAGCCAGGAUGUUGGCUUAGAAGCAGCCAUCAUUUAAAGAAAGCGUAAUAGCUCACUGGUCGAGUCGGCCUGCGCGGAAGAUGUAACGGGGCUAAACCAUGCACCGAAGCUGCGGCAGCGAACGUAUCACCCAAGACAACUUUGCACAGUUGACGAUUGACGGAGCGGAGCGACGUCAAAGCGUUUUACAACGUCGAGUUGGCUUAGGGAUACGUUCGUUGGGUAGGGGAGCGUUCUGUAAGCCUGCGAAGGUGGCCUGUGAGGGUUGCUGGAGGUAUCAGAAGUGCGAAUGCUGACAUAAGUAACGAUAAAGCGGGUGAAAAGCCCGCUCGCCGGAAGACCAAGGGUUCCUGUCCAACGUUAAUCGGGGCAGGGUGAGUCGACCCCUAAGGCGAGGCCGAAAGGCGUAGUCGAUGGGAAACGGGUUAAUAUUCCCGUACUUGGUGUUACUGCGAAGGGGGGACGGAGAAGGCUAUGUUGGCCGGGCGACGGUUGUCCCGGUUUAAGCGUGUAGGCUGGUUUUCCAGGCAAAUCCGGAAAAUCAAGGCUGAGGCGUGACGACGAGGCACUACGGUGCUGAAGCAACAAAUGCCCUGCUUCCAGGAAAAGCCUCUAAGCAUCAGGUAACAUCAAAUCGUACCCCAAACCGACACAGGUGGUCAGGUAGAGAAUACCAAGGCGCUUGAGAGAACUCGGGUGAAGGAACUAGGCAAAAUGGUGCCGUAACUUCGGGAGAAGGCACGCUGACAUGUAGGUGAAGUGAUUUACUCAUGGAGCUGAAGUCAGUCGAAGAUACCAGCUGGCUGCAACUGUUUAUUAAAAACACAGCACUGUGCAAACACGAAAGUGGACGUAUACGGUGUGACGCCUGCCCGGUGCCGGAAGGUUAAUUGAUGGGGUCAGCGCAAGCGAAGCUCCUGAUCGAAGCCCCGGUAAACGGCGGCCGUAACUAUAACGGUCCUAAGGUAGCGAAAUUCCUUGUCGGGUAAGUUCCGACCUGCACGAAUGGCGUAAUGAUGGCCAGGCUGUCUCCACCCGAGACUCAGUGAAAUUGAACUCGCUGUGAAGAUGCAGUGUACCCGCGGCAAGACGGAAAGACCCCGUGAACCUUUACUAUAGCUUGACACUGAACAUUGAGCCUUGAUGUGUAGGAUAGGUGGGAGGCUUUGAAGUGUGGACGCCAGUCUGCAUGGAGCCAACCUUGAAAUACCACCCUUUAAUGUUUGAUGUUCUAACGUGGACCCGUUACCCGGGUUGCGGACAGUGUCUGGUGGGUAGUUUGACUGGGGCGGUCCUCCUCCUAAAGAGUAACGGAGGAGCACGAAGGUUGGCUAAUCCUGGUCGGACAUCAGGAGGUUAGUGCAAUGGCAUAAGCCAGCUUGACUGCGAGCGUGACGGCGCGAGCAGGUGCGAAAGCAGGUCAUAGUGAUCCGGUGGUUCUGAAUGGAAGGGCCAUCGCUCAACGGAUAAAAGGUACUCCGGGGAUAACAGGCUGAUACCGCCCAAGAGUUCAUAUCGACGGCGGUGUUUGGCACCUCGAUGUCGGCUCAUCACAUCCUGGGGCUGAAGUAGGUCCCAAGGGUAUGGCUGUUCGCCAUUUAAAGUGGUACGCGAGCUGGGUUUAGAACGUCGUGAGACAGUUCGGUCCCUAUCUGCCGUGGGCGCUGGAGAACUGAGGGGGGCUGCUCCUAGUACGAGAGGACCGGAGUGGACGCAUCACUGGUGUUCGGGUUGUCAUGCCAAUGGCACUGCCCGGUAGCUAAAUGCGGAAGAGAUAAGUGCUGAAAGCAUCUAAGCACGAAACUUGCCCCGAGAUGAGUUCUCCCUGAGACUUAAAGUCUCCUGAAGGAACGUUGAAGACGACGACGUUGAUAGGCCGGGUGUGUAAGCGCAGCGAUGCGUUGAGCUAACCGGUACUAAUGAACCGUGAGGCUUAACCUU
rnacentral:rRNA from 1 species